GCUUGGAUAGCUCAAUUGGCAGAGCAAUCAAUCUUUAAUUGAUGAGUCGCGGGUUCGAAUCCCGUUCCAAACGCCA
rnacentral:tRNA from 1 species